rnacentral:tRNA from 1 species
GUUUAAAUAGCUUAUAAUUAGAGCAUGACACUGAAGAUGUUAGGGAGAUAUAUUAUAUCUUUGAACA